CCGAGUAGCUACGAGAGGUGGCACUUGGAGCUGUGGUGUAGCUGACCCGGUGGGGACCAGCCCAAGUUUGGUCUCGAUAAUCUUGGAGGCCUCCUCCAACCCGAACAAACGUUGUGGUUCUGCAGGGUCUAGUAGCAUAGUCUUAUCUGAAGUAGCUGUCUGUUUAGUAAUGCGAGUUACGAGGAAAAACUAGAUAAGAGGUGCCAUUUUCUAUCAAUUUAUGAGUUUGGUUCAAGCCAAAAAUGGGAAAUUUUACAUGUAAGCAAGUGUUUUAAAACUUACUCAAAAAUAGUUGCAUCAUUGGUUAAAAGGGAGCAUUCUACAUAGGUCUAAAUUCACCAAGGGUAUGCUUAUUUAAAAACACUAGGAAGAAGUGUACUUUUUCUGUGUACCACCACAGGAACUGGGUUUGAAAGGCUUUGAAAUUAAUGACAAGGCCUUUCUCAAUUCUGGAUCUGAAACAGCUCCAGCUGACCUGGCUUUUGAUGAUGCAUAGCCUUUACAAUCCAGGGGCUGACUAGUGGCCAGGCUUAGGUGAGCUGCUGUAGGUAAAUGCAAGCAAUGCAAGUAAUAAUUAGCAUUAUUGUUGGCAGUGUUAAGAAGCAAAAUGUCAGAGCAUUAGGCUCCAUGAAGCCUUGAUCUGACUACAUUGGCACAUUACUGUGACACUGUCUAAUGCCAAGUUUCAGCCUGCAGGAGCAGUUGCACUGCCAAGGGUUCAGAUACCUGAGGAAUGUUCCUACAGCUACUUGCCUUGCUGGGGCAGACAGGGAAGGACAAGCAGAAAAGACCUUAAGCUCUGCAACAACUAAAGCACCAUCAGAGAAGCUCGUCAGUCUGGCUCCGGCAGCUCUGACUGAGGAGUGACUAACCAGGUCACUUCUGGCAUUCAUUUCCUUCCUGCCCACUGAGAUUAUAUAUUACUUUAAGGUGUGUGCCUUAUGAAGUGACCAAGAUCGUCAGUCUCAAUCCAGGUGGCAGCAUUUCUGGUGCUUUCAUCUUUGUAUUGAAGUCCACAUGAGUUUUAUGUUUGUAUCCGUGGAAUGAAUUCCCUGAAAGACACAACGGCCUUGUAGUGCAGUGAGAAAAACUCAAUGGAUGUUAUCUGUGGAAACACAAGAUCGUAUUAAAAAAAGUGAAAUAUAGCGAAGAGGAGGCAAAUAACCAAGGGCCACUUUGAGCCUGAGGAGGUGGGAGAGGAGCACUGGAACCAGCCACUUCUGAGCCUUUAUUUGAGCAAAGGGGAAGUCAUCAAGUGAGUUCUGCUAAGGACCAAGAAACUCAACUGGAUCUGUGGACUCCUUAUUGUAGAGGCCAUAGUCAGGGGAAAUACCUUGUGUUUUGCUGCUUGGUAGAGUUUGCAUUUCAGGUAAUGAACUGUGCCUGAGGGAAGUGUCUUAAAAAGGCCUGGGUGUGGUACUGGGGGUUUUUUCCCCUUGGCAGGUGAGGAAGCCUGCCAGUUUACAAAAAUACAGGGACUUAGCAACUACUGUGUGCUUGUAUGAGCUCUUCACCUUGCAAUAAAGACAUGACCAUUUCCAGUAUUUUAAAGCAGACUUGACAUAUUAUAUUUGAGUGCAUAUCAACAAAAAAAUAUCACCUCUCAAAACAAAGAGGAAAAAAGAGAUAUUUUGCGAUCAAUUGAUUUCAAAUUUUUUAAGAAAACUUCUUGUUUGUUGAAAAGUCACUAUUCUUCAACCAGAAAAAAAAAAUGCUUCUCUCAGGCUGUAAGCUGUUUGUAAAAAGGAUUAUCUGUAUCAUUUUCCUGUAUUUUUGCCCUAAUGAGAACAGCAUGAUUAUUCUCCAGAAAUGACACACAAGAGAAAUAGCAGCAAAAUAUUGGUAUCUCAAAGAUGAAAAUAAACACAUAUUUAUGACCAACCAAAACACUGUCAAUGUAUUGGAAGUUCACUUGUAAGUCUUAGAGCAGUUGCAUUUGUACACAUUACAUGACUUUUCAGGCUCCUGAAAUAAAUUAAUAUUGUUCAAAUGAACAUCAUUGCUUGGGUUUGCAAAUGCCUUCAAUGUGAUUACACAUUAAGUUUACAGGAUUUAAAACUUUAUAACCUGUUUGCAACUACCAUAUCUUUCUAAAAAAUAUUCUGUUCAGGUGUAGACCCAGAGGAAAUUAUUUUUCUCUCUGUCAUGCUCUCAUUCUGAAAAGAAUCCUAAGCUAGGUGUGAAAUAGUAGAAGACUGUAUUACUUACCAAUGUGAAGUAAAGAACCCAUGGUUAGUCACAUUGCUUUCAAGCUUCCAAGGCACAAAUAGAGCUAUUGAAAUCUUGUUGAGAUGUUUUUCUGUUGUAAAUAACCAGGGAGAAAUCAAUUAAUUGAGAAUGGAGGACAAAAAUAUAGCCAUAAUAAAGAUAUAUGCAUGAAGAAAGGAAAAUAAUAAUUGAGGAAAGACAAAAUAAUUGCAUAUACUUCCUUCAGCAAGGGAAGAAUCUGUAAAACUAGGUCUACAUUCAGUUUCCCCCAAAGAGAUUGCUAAUUUUUAUGCUAUCCUGUCUCUCUGGAAGCUAAAUUUGUCUCUUACAGUACUUUACAUCAGCAACAAAAAGCAAAACACAGACAGACUUUCAAUACAGUUUAAAUGUGAUCUCUGCAUCAGCAGUAUUAAGGAAAAAGGUUUAGCUGGUGAAAGGGUGGAUGUGUUGCUUUGAUGUAAAAAGUUUUAUUUCAUGACAAUGCUCAAACAAGCAAUCUGUUCCAGUUAUAAGCAAUGUGACUAUUUAUAGUCUGAGCCUCAUACAGACAUAACACACUUGACUGUGAACAGUAAAUACUUUGUGAGGGUUAGAAAGUAAAAAAAGAGGUGCUUGCAGGCACUGCCACAUGGUGUACAGUGUUUGCUGAGAAUGACAAUGCAACAUCUGCAGAUUCCCACAGGAUGUGUAAUUCUUGUUAUUUCAGGGUCUCAUCCAACUUAUUUGACAUUAUUGUAAGAUUCACAUAAAGAUGAAUUGAUUUUGGUCCUUAGCUUGUCAUGUAAAAUACUGGCUAAAUACAGAGUUUAUAUUUGGAUAAGUGAAAUAAAGCCUUCCUAUUCCCACACCCUGAAUAAGCACUUUCACCUUGUUUAAGAUCAUUCCAAAAAUAACAGGAAGCAGGCAGGUAAUAGGUACUAUCUGGCCUAACAUUAUAAUUGCAGCCCCAGGCAAGAAGGGAAUAAUGGA